CAAGAAUAUAAAAAAGAAAUUCAAAAUCUUAGAGAAGAGUUGAUAAAACAAAAAGAAGAAUUAAAAAAAUAUAAGGAAAUCAUCCAAAAUCUUACGAAGAAAUGCAACGAAACAAGGACCGAGGUUGAUCCCCUGGUGGAUAUGAAAACAUUAGAAACUAGAUUAAUUAGGGAACAAGAGCAAAAUGCAGAAUUGGAAAAUGAGUUAAUUAUGCUCAGGAAACC